rnacentral:rRNA from 1 species
AGUGAACGCUGGCGGUAGGCCUAACACAUGCAAGUCGAACGGCAGCACAGUAAGAGCUUGCUCUUACGGGUGGCGAGUGGCGGACGGGUGAGGAAUACAUCGGAAUCUACUUUUUCGUGGGGGAUAACGUAGGGAAACUUACGCUAAUACCGCAUACGACCUACGGGUGAAAGCAGGGGAUCUUCGGACCUUGCGCGAUUGAAUGAGCCGAUGUCGGAUUAGCUAGUUGGCGGGGUAAAGGCCCACCAAGGCGACGAUCCGUAGCUGGUCUGAGAGGAUGAGCAGCCACACUGGAACGGAGACACGGUCCAGACUCCUACGGGAGGCAGCAGUGGGGAAUAUUGGACAAUGGGCGCAAGCCUGAUCCAGCCAUACCGCGUGGGUGAAGAAGGCCUUCGGGUUGUAAAGCCCUUUUGUUGGGAAAGAAAAGCAGCAGGUUAAUACCCCGCUGUUCUGACGGUACCCAAAGAAUAAGCACCGGCUAACUUCGUGC